AACGAACGCUGGCGGAAUGCUUUACACAUGCAAGUCGAACGGCAGCACGGACUUCGGUCUGGUGGCGAGUGGCGAACGGGUGAGUAAUGUAUCGGAACGUGCCCAGUCGUGGGGGAUAACGUAGUGAAAAUUACGCUAAUACCGCAUACGAUCUAUGGAUGAAAGCGGGGGAUCGCAAGACCUCGCGCGAUUGGAGCGGCCGAUAUCAGAUUAGGUAGUUGGUGGGGUAAAGGCCCACCAAGCCGACGAUCUGUAGCUGGUCUGAGAGGACGACCAGCCACACUGGAACUGAGACACGGUCCAGACUCCUACGUGAGGCAGCAGUGGGGAAUUUUGGACAAUGGGCGAAAGCCUGAUCCAGCCAUUCCGCGUGCAGGAUGAAGGCCCUCGGGUUGUAAACUGCUUUUGUACAGAACGAAAAGGUUUCUACUAAUACUAGGAGCUCAUGACGGUACUGUAAGAAUAAGCACCGGCUAACUACGUGCCAGCCGCCGCAGUAA
rnacentral:rRNA from 1 species